UAGUCUUAUAUCAAGUGUAAUGCCAAGAUAUUUAACAUUAGGAUAUGAUGAAAUUUGAGUACCCUGAAAGUGAAUAGGUGGAGGGUCUGUUCUUUUUAAAAUUAAUGGUACAUAAACAGAUUUGCCUAGAUUUAUUUUUAUCCACCAUUUAGUUGCCCAGUUGUCAAUAAGUCUAAGUGGAUUUGUAGAAGGUCGGAUGUUUUGUCAAGCUCGUCACUAGCACAGAGUAUUGCGGUGUUGUCUGCGUAAGUGGUCAUGGUGGUGUUUGUUGUGAAAUUUUGUUUUAGCACUUUAUUGAUCUUUAUGGACACACAUUACCAGUUAAUUAUUUGGACAUAAGUUAUGAUUCAUCACUUAUUAUAACCGCAAGUGCUGAUAAGACAAUCAGAAUUUGGGGCUUAGAUUAUGGUGACUGUCAUAGGCGUAUAAUUACAGAGUCUACAUUGACCAGUAUUAAAUUUAUUCCCAAGACCCAUCAAUUUUUCACUACCGAUAAGAAUGAAAACAUUAAGACUUGAUACUUCAAGGUCACAGAGGGGAAUUCCAAAAUAUGUCUGUAAGUGGAAAUGUUUAUUAUAUUGUGAGUUGUGACCAAGACAAUAUGAUACGGUUAUAUGAAAAAACCAAAGAGCCUCUUAUAUUAGAUGAUGAACGGGAAGAAGAAAGAACACAAGAAGAUGAAUAAUAAUAUAUCGAAGAGCCUCUUGUACUAAAUGAUGCGGUGGAAAAAGAAGAAAAACUAGCCACAAGUGAAGAAACCAAUGUAUAUAGAGGGCCAUUUGUUAUUGCAUUGGGAUGCAUUGGGUCAGCUAAAUUGGCAUCAGGUGGGUGGUCUUCUUUCGGACGUUUAGCAACAAAAAAAUAAUCUCUGUAUCCAGAACAC